GGCACGGAGGAGGUAGGUACCACACCAGACGGUAGGCCAGGAAACCGCAGGCCCCUGCCGGGCACAGGAAGGCAUCUGUGAGAUUUCUUCUCACUGCCACACCCUAGUGUUGUGGGGCGAGCAUAAUCCCUUUUGCCUGCUGUGCGACCAGCCCCAGGCCGGCCAAGGGGGCUUGGAACCGGGACCCCCACUGCCUCCGCCUCCUUACCAGUGUGAUCCAUGAUUCGGCUCGCAGAGCACAGUGGGAGCGGAAGUCAACCGCGCCGGAGUCGCAGCGAGCGCGUGCGCACUGCCUUCCGGAGGCCGGGAGGCGGAAGUCCAAGCAGGUUGUCCCAAUUUUGGCCUGCAAAGACUUCCUUCUCUCGCCUCUACUAUCCAACUCCUGUGAGGGACUCAGGCAUAGUUCGGGCGGAGGCAGAAAGAGCGAGCGCGCGAAGAACUUCGGUAUUGAGGGAGAGCGCUUGUGACGCUACGAACCUCUCGAACACCUGACGACUGGGCGCCAGGGCCGGAUGGAGGGUGGAGAGCCAGUGCGGCGCAGCUGCCUCCUCUUAACGGGGACACCUUGCAGGAAUGUGCGGAGUGGAGCUAACGGGAGCGGAUAGAAACCGAGGGAGGGGAAGAGAGCGCGAAGGCUUGGCCGGAAGGAGAGGUUAAAAAGGAAAGGCCUAAAAUGAGGAAGAGAGUUACCACAACAAGCAGUACCUAGUUCCAGUUCUUGGUCCCAGGAGUUUGUGGUUGUUGCUGCUUUCAUCUUCCUCAGCCAACACAAAAGGAAAGUGCCAAGGGGCGAUUCCUAGGACCUUCAGUGCAGUCUCCACCUUGCGGACUUGGCUCAUUUGUGUCCACUCCUUUCUCCAGCCUUUUACACUUGAUGCUCUUGGAUGAAUAGAAAGGAGCACAAUUAAUGGAAAACACAAGCUUGGGAGUCAAGGGAUUUGGGUUCUAUUCUUGUCCUCCCUUGGUGACGACAUCAUUACCUUGGGUUAUUCAAGCUUUCAGUGCCAGAGUUCCUAUAUCAAUAAAAGAUUAUUACAUUGACCUCUUAGAGAAAUGUUUUCAUGGUACUGAAUUGCAAAUAAAGUAUGUGUAGCGAUGUG
rnacentral:lncRNA from 1 species